AUAUGUAUCUUGAGAAUUUUGAUUUUGUGGGUUGUUUUGAUUUUUGGCUUUGGAGGGUGAUUUUGAGCUUUGAAUGAAGACCUGGGUUGGUUUGUUUUUGUGAUUCAGAGGAGAGAAUUAGUGUGUGUGUAUAUAUAGGUGAGAAUUGCAAUGAUCUUUUUUUCUUGAAGUCUUUUGAGUGGUGAAGAGGCAAAUGGAGUUGGGAAAUGGAUUAUGAAGAGCACAUGGAAUUGUCUUCCAACUUGCAGCUAAGAUUUGAGACUGCAAACAUCAGUGUCCAUUAGGUGACAAACAUUGGUGUCCUACAUACAUCAAAAAAUAGCGAGUAGAGAGCUGCCUAAAGAUUGGAAAUGGACAGUUUGAUACCUGGCCUUUGGAUUAAGGACAUGGUUGGGACACCGGUAUUCGGUAUAUUCAAAGACGGGGGCGGUCUGUGGAGAGUUUGGUAUGGAUGUAGACCUCAAGGAUAGAAGGAAACAGAGGCAAAGAUAAAACUCAGGCAAAAUGUGGUGUCUAAUUUGACAAGAGAGCAGGAGAAGGGAGUGGAUUUGGCUCAUUCAGCAAUUAAUAGGGGAGGAUAAUCCAUGGAAACAAGAAGAGGGGAAAUGGAGAAAAAAACAGGAUGAAAUUGGGAUAAGUUCCCUCAUUUCGCAUCGCAUUGUUUUUGAUGGACUGAAUCGAAUGAUCUCAUUACAAGACAAUGAAAUAUAAGCCACUACUUUCUGAUGGUUCAACUUGACUGUGUCUAGAUUGCAAGGAUUUUUCUAACUUCCAUGUUAAGACACUCAAAAAGAUGGCUUUGCUGAUGUCAGAACCUCAUGAGAAUUGUGGAAAGAUUUACCUGAAAAAAGGGAAAGAGGAAAUUAUGAUGCCACCCAUUGAAUGAUCAUAUCCGAACUCUUUUUUUGUUUGACUCUACAAAUCUUGAAAUGAAGACUGAUUUAAGUAAGAUAGUGAGAUGACAAAACGCAUCUUUUGUCCUUGCCAGUAUAAUCUGUGAAGCAGCCUUUUGGAACAGCUACCGGUUUUGGAGAUGCCCCAUUUCCUGUUAAUGUAGAUCGUUGAAGACUUUGCUUAGCAUGAACAAUACUAGGCAAAUGGACACCCAUCGCGAUAUGGUAUUUCUCAAGAACUAUGAGAUUCUAAAAGGUUGAUAAAAGUUGGAAAUUUUUUUUGAUAAUUGAACUAUGCACAAAGGAAGCUUCGUGGAUCAUAUAUUUUUGGUUGCUCUCUCAUGGUGUAAAUAUUAUACUCCUUACAAUACUUAUUCUAUUUUAUCUUUGUGCCCAUUGGAAGACCUUUUUGUAACUUCCUUGGCUUGGGGUCCUUGGCGUUCCUCCCCCCCCUCUUUUUGUAAUUUUGUUUCAUCAAUGAAAUUGUCUUUUUUUCUUUCUUUAAAA